UACGUAGGGUGCGAGCGUUGUCCGGAAUUAUUGGGCGUAAAGAGCUCGUAGGCGGUUUGUCGCGUCUGCUGUGAAAACGCGAGGCUCAACCUCGCGCCUGCAGUGGGUACGGGCAGACUAGAGUGCGGUAGGGGAGAUUGGAAUUCCUGGUGUAGCGGUGGAAUGCGCAGAUAUCAGGAGGAACACCGAUGGCGAAGGCGGCUCACUGGCCCGAUACUGACGCUGAGGUGCGAAAGCGUGGGGAGCAAACAGG
rnacentral:rRNA from 1 species